rnacentral:lncRNA from 10 species
ACCACUCCCAGGUUUCGUCACUUCAUUCCCACCCCAGGAACAUCACUGUCCAUGAUGGCAGUCUGCCCGGCAAUCUGGCCUGUUCCCAAGACUGGCGUUUCACUCCUCGAUUGCACCUGUAACCAAACUUGGUGAUCUCCUGCAACUGCUCUACCUCUGGUUUCUCCUAACAUACUACCCACAGCAACCUCAAACAAUGAAGUUUUGUACCAUUAUAGAGUCCUCUUAUUGGAAUGGAUUAGAGGGGAAGGAAGAAACUUAAUAAUUUUGUUGUAAGGAUUACAAAUACACCUACAUGAUAAAUUGGGGGCCGGGGAGGAUGGUCCUAAUGUGGUAACUUGGGUCAAACUUGCCAGUGAGUCAGACAUGUAUUUGAGAAGUGCUGCAUCUCAGACAGCUUAGAUGCAAGUGAAGGAGAUACACUUUGAGAAAUGGACUGUAGAUACCAUGAAGACGUUGAUGUCCAAGAUGCAUG